rnacentral:lncRNA from 10 species
UAAGGAUCUAAGCAUCUAGCAUUUCCCCUGCUUGCCUGUACUCCAUCCUGCCACCCUGUGAAGAAGGUUCCUGCUUCUCCUUUACCUUCUGCCAUGACUGAAUGGUUCAAUAACAUUCAGUGCCCUAAAGGAGGAAAGGAGAUUGUAGUAUACUCAACUGAAUUAAGAAGAAAGACCUUCCAAUCUUCUUGUCAGGCCUCUGAGCCCAAGCUAAACCAUCGUAUGCCCUGUGACCUGCAUAUAUAUGUCCAGAUGGCCUGAAGCAAGUGAAGAAUCACAAAAGAAGUGAAAAUGGCCUGUUCCUGCCUUAACUGAUGACAUUCCACCAUUGUGAUUUGUUUCUGCCCCACCUUAACUCAGCGAUUAACCUUGUGAAAUUCCUUCUCCUGGCUCAGAAGCUCCCCCACUGAGCACCUCGUGACACCCCCACCCCUGCCCACAAGAGAAAAAACCCCCUUUGAUUGUAAUUUUCCACUACCCACCCAAAUCCUAUAAAAUGGCCCCACCCCUAUCUCCCUUUGCUGACUCUCUUUUUGGUCUCAGCCCGCCUGCACCCAGGUGAUUAAAAAGCUUUAUUGCUCACAC